UACGGAGGGUGCAAGCGUUGCUCGGAAUUAUUGGGCGUAAAGGGUAGGUAGGUGGUCUCAUUUGUCUGAGGUGAAAGCCUUGAGCUUAACUCAAGAAGUGCCUUAGAAACGGUGAGACUAGAGUCUUGGAGAGGGUCGUGGAAUUCCCGGUGUAGCGGUGAAAUGCGCAGAUAUCAGGAGGAACACCGGUGGCGAAGGCGGGUCUCUGGGCCGAUACUGACGCUGAGGAGCGAAAGCGUGGGGAGCGAACAGG
rnacentral:rRNA from 1 species